GCGCCUGUAGCUCAGUCGGAUAGAGCGACCGCCUCCUAAGCGGUAGGCCGGAGGUUCGAAUCCUCUCAGGCGCGCCA
rnacentral:tRNA from 2 species